UGUACGUUGCAACAAGUCCGGUUCUGCUGGUGCAGUGAGAAAUUCUGUAUUUGAAUAUUGCAGUAGUCGGCUUUCAAGCAAGUCGAAAUCAUGUGUGUACGUGCGAGGAAAAGGUGUACGUUAACGCAACUGCGACACGAACUUUAUCUGUGCGCAUGUGAGUCAUGAAAUUCAUGGAAGAUGAGACACUGUGAAAAAAUCACGGUACGCAGAUAGAGAAGCGGAAGAUAAAUUAUUUCAGUGACAACGAAAUUCAACAAAACUUGUGCGAAGCGCCACUCUGCUUUUGACCGCAGGAUUCACUCUGCCUCGAGAGGAAAUACAGCAGAUGAUUCUUAGAGUACAAUCAAAGUGGAACUGAAAACGAUUUUCUUUAGUUGAGGAAAAGUCGGGAAUCACUUUUUUUUCUUUUUAAAUCCGAUUUGACUGUUCGACGACCGCGUGCCCUUCGAGCAUAGUUAUGUCUGACCAUCGCUUACUAGUUCUACUUGAGAUCAAUGUCUACCGCGUGCUGCAUUUACUUAUGUACUUUAAUAUCGGUCCGUAUAAUUGAUGGAAAUUAAUUGGUGACGUUGCGCUGGUAAUUCGAAACAUUAUUCUUAACUGAAAGCUAUCUUAACGAUCGUCCAGGCAAUCUGAUCAAAAUAUCCUAGAUUCGCGAUCGAAUUGUUGAUUAAUAUGAUACAUAGGUGCAAAUGCAUCGGGAGAGCUUAUUAAUGAAGUUUUUUCAAAUAUAUACUGCGCUACUUACCAAAAAAAAAUCUUUUAUUUUUGGACCAAUAUAUCUUAUCCGGUAUGCGACACUCGACUUACCACACUCGUUAUGAAAGUUAAUGAAGAUAGUCUUCGAAUAAUUAUCAAUUUAAUGUCAGGUCACGUGUACCGUGCGAGCAAUGUUAACAGCAGAAAAAAAAUCGAUGUGGGGUGUGUUGUGUUACCAUGCAUCCGUUUGCAGCUUAAGCGAUAAGAUAAUACGGACCAUCGAACGUAAAUCGUGAUUUUAUCAAUGUUUCGGGAUUAUGAACGCGAGGGAGAAACUGCGCAGAUUUUUUACAACGUACAAAAAUGUCAAAAUAGUCCACGUCCAUGUUCCUAAUAAUAUUCAGAAUUAUUGAUGGAAAAUCCAAAUUAAUCCGCGUCAUUUUUCCACUUGAAAUUUCUAUUUGUGAGAUUACACUGUCGGAAUAUCAUUUCACCUUAGGGUAGAUGAAAAAUUAUACGUCUACAUUGUCUUUUCAAUUAUAUACACGUGAAUAAAACGUUCAACGAAAACAAGAAAAUAGAAAAAUCAAUUUACACGAAUAUCCAGCCUGUUAACGUCUUUGUGUAAACGUUACAAGGACAAUGCUGUUUUUAUAGCAACAAAUCAGCCAAUAAAUCUUUAAACUUUAUUUUU